rnacentral:rRNA from 1 species
UGGGGAAUAUUGGACAAUGGGCGCAAGCCUGAUCCAGCAAUGCCGCGUGAGUGAUGAAGGCCUUCGGGUUGUAAAGCUCUUUCGCACGCGACGAUGAUGACGGUAGCGUGAGAAGAAGCCCCGGCUAACUUCGUGCCAGCAGCCGCGGUAAUACGAAGGGGGCUAGCGUUGUUCGGAAUUACUGGGCGUAAAGGGCGCGUAGGCGGUGUGUCAAGUCAGGCGUGAAAGCCCCGGGCUCAACCUGGGAACCGCGCUUGAGACUGGCACGCUAGAGUUCGGGAGAGGAUGGUGGAAUUCCCAGUGUAGAGGUGAAAUUCGUAGAUAUUGGGAAGAACACCGAUGGCGAAGGCAGCCAUCUGGACCGACACUGACGCUGAGGCGCGAAAGCGUGGGGAGCAAACAGGAUUAGAUACCCUGGUAGUCCACGCCGUAAACGAUGAGUGCUAGACGUUGGGGCCCUUAGGGCUUCGGUGUCGCAGCUAACGCGUUAA